rnacentral:lncRNA from 1 species
UGGGCGCGGAGUAGGGUUCCCCCUAAGGAGGUGGCGCCCGGGGACUUGGAGAGACCCGGGAAAGUGCGGAAAGGAGGGGCCCUGCGCUGGCCAAGCUGUUGAAGAGCCUCGCCCAGCCGGCCCCGGGUGCCCACGAUAGCCGAACCCAGGGCGGGGAUCCCGGUUAUCGUCAUCCCUUCGGCUGCUCCGGUACGCGGCCGUUGGUGGCCUGCCAGUUUUACAGAGGGAAUACUUAGACCCUGCUGGGUGGGGACUUGCAGUCUAUAACUGCUUUCUCAGCUCUUAAAAAGUCAGCAAUCCUGGGUUAAAUUCCUCUGUGCAAAAUUAAAUUUUGCCAUACCCCAAUAUGGGCGUUGAUUUCCUCCGUUACCAGAGAAAAACAACUUAACUGAGAGAUGGGAAAAACAUAUUCCCUUGUGAUGGGAAAAAUGUAUUCAACCCCUGUACGCUGUGCCAAAUUGGCUUCUUUAAACACUGGAGAAAUCUGCUUCCCCAAAUUUUACUCCCAGAAGAGGAUGCUUGCCCUUCUCAGUUACUUGUCUGAAGUCUAGGAUCUUGUUUUAAUUUCCCAAGGACCCCCAUAAGCUCAAUGACAUCAUCACGGCCUGUCUGUCUCAUCUGCUUUUCCCUGUGAAUUUCACCCUACACACAGCUUCCCUCGUGGAUGCAACAUGGCUGCAACUGUUCUAGGCUUUGAAACCAUCCCAG